GUCCAGAGGAGGGCAGCUAAAAUGAUCAAGCCCUAUGAGGAGUGGCUUAAAGAGCUGGGCAUGUUCAUAAGUGGGAGAUAAAGGUGGAAUUAGCAAGUGUAAUGUUACUGAGAAUAUAUAAUUGGAUGUGUAUAUUGAAAUGGUGAUGGAUUUUGUUAUUAUUCCACUGGUAUUUACAAUAAAAACAUAUAUAUAUAAGAGCUGGCCAUGUUUAGCCUGCAGAAGAGAAGGCGGAGAAGAGACAUGAAGGCCAGGUAUCAAGAUGUGAAGGGAAGCAAGUCAUAGGGAUGAGGAGACCAGGACACAAUGGAACCAUGGCUUCAAAUGACAGAAGGAAAUUCCACCUGAACAUCAGAAAGAACUUCCUGGCUGUGAGAGAAAACUGUUCAGCAGUGGAACUCUCUGCUCCAGAGUGUGGUGGAGGCUCCUUCUUUGGAGGCUUUGAAACAGAGGCUGGAUGGCCAUCUGUCAGGGGUGCUUUGAGUGUGAUUUCCCUGCAUCUUGGUAGAAUGGGGUUGGACUGGAUGGUUCCAGACCCUUGAUCCUUUGAGUCGCCCUUCUCAGGACACAUUCCAGCUUAGAGUCAACAUCUCCCUUCCAUUGCGGUGCCCAGAAUUGGACACAGUGUGAUUCCAGGUAAAGUGGUCUGACCAAGGCAGAAUAGAGGGGUAUUUAUUUAUUUACAGUAUUUAUAUUCCACCCUUCUUUCUCACCCCAAAGGGGACUCAGGGCGGAUCACAUUGUACACAUAUAAGGCAAACAUUCAAUGCCAUAUGAACAUAGAACAGAGACAGACGCAGAGGCAAUUUAAACCUUCUCCAGCUUCCUGAGGGUGAGCUUGAUUCCGGCCACAGGGUGAACAGCUGUUUCAUCAUCCACUGCGACGGCAACUUCCUCAUUCCAACGGCGGCUGGGUGAUUUUUAUGGUGUCGUAAAUCAGCCUCCCCACAUAUAAGUGGUACCUAAAUUUCCUACUUGAUAGAUGCAACAAUCUUUCGGGUUGCUUAGGUCAACAACGAGCAGGGGCUUUUUUAUUUUAAUUGUCAGGUGCUCACCCCGACACGGUCUGGCCUCGAACUCAUGACCUCUUGGUCAGAGUGAUUUAUUGCAGCUGGCUGCUAACCAGCCUGCGCCACAGUCCGGCCCCGCAUGACUUCCCUGGAUCUAGACACUACAGGCAAAAAUCCCAUUGGCUUUUUUAGCCUCCACACAACAUUGCUGGCUCAUGUUCACCUUCCUCCCUAUGUUGUCUAGCCAGACAUUCCCCAUUCUGUAUCUUUGCAUUUCCUUUUUUUUUCUGCCUAAGUGGAAUCUCUUGCAUUUGUCCCUGUUGAGGUUCAUUGUGUUCGUGUCGGCUAAUCAUCUUUCUCAUCUGUUAAGAUCGUUUUGAAUUCUGCUCCUGUCUUCUGGAGUAUUGGCUCUCUGCAAACUUGGUGAUCCUGCCUUCUGAUCUUUCAUCCAAGCCAUGAAUAAAGAUCCUGAACGGAACCGGGCCCAGAACCAGACCCUCCGCUUGUCACUUCUUUCCAAGAAGAAGAUCCUUUCACAACAUGACUUGAAAACUUUUUACCCACGCCAACUUGACAAUUUUGAAGGACCUGAGUUCUUAUCAAGUCUGAUAUGUGAUGUGUGAGCUUCCGCUUAAAGUCUUUCACUGGCAUCUGCCAAAGAAAAAACUUAUGGAAAUACCCACAACUUCCUCCUCCGCUUCUUUGUCACGAUUUUAACGUAGCCUCCUUUGAAACCCAUAGGAUUAGAUUAAACUGAGAUCAUCAGUCUCAAGACCCAUCAUGAGACAACCCGGCCCAUUGAAAAUGCUCAACGUUUGGAAAAGCGGAAGACAUUGUGCCGCAAAGUUGGUUCAUACAGUUUCACCUCCGGCUGUAUCUGCUUGAGCAAAAGCCUGGAGUGAAAUACAAGACCGCUUCCUGUGAAACGGAUCGCUCUCUGCAACAGAAAAUUUCCACUGUUGACAGCGCCGACCUCUGAAUGCCCCAACAGAUGAAUCUGUAUUUGUGUGCAUGUUUUUUUUUCUGGUUUAUGGUGUGACUUGCCCAAGGUCACCCCAUAGGUUUUCAUAGUCUCUAGAGUCGCAGUCCAACAAUCAAACCAGUAAGCCACACUGGCUUCUUUCUGGCAAGUUCAAGUAAAUCUAAUGUGUGGUGCGUCUAUGCUGGAGAAUUAAUAUAGUUUGACACUGCUUUAACUGCCAUGGCUAGGUGCUAUGGAAUCCCGGGAGUUGUGGUUUGGUGAGGAAACAGCCCUCGAGAAUUGGUAGAGUAGGCCAAAGGUGUUACAGAACUACAACUCCCACAAUUCCAAAGCAUUGAGCCUUGGCAGGUAAAGUGGGAAAGGGCCAGUUGGGAGGAGCCCGGUAGUGGUGGUCAGCUUCUCCAGCCAUCCAGGCGUGUGCUGCCACCUGGUGGCAAUUUUGGAGUAAAUUGGGAAGGAAAGGGGACAAAGAACGGAGCAGGGGGGGAAAAAGACAGACAAAAUUGUCAGGACUGCUUUGUUCUCAAACCGUAGGCCUUUUUGUUGUUGUCACCAUAAAUCAGAAAUAGCUUGAAGUAUUACAACAAGAGGCCACGGUGGCACAGUGGGUUAAACCCAUGUGCUGCUGAUCUGCGGACCUGAAGGUUGGCAGUUCGAAUCCAAGGGACAGGAUGAGCUCCCGCUGUCGGCCCUAGCUCCUGCCAACCCAGCGGUUUGAAAACAUGCAGAUGUGAGUGGAUAAAUAGGUAGUCCUUCAGCGGGAAAGGCAAAAAGACGCUCCAAGCAGUCACGAAGGCCACACAACCAGGUGACAAGGCAGGUUUGUAGGAAAAGCAAAAAAGUACCAAGUACCCUUGUCAGCCACACAAGCAUGAGGUGUCUAUAGACAACACAGGCUCCUUGGCUUGGAAAUGGAGAAGAGUACCUCCCAGAGCCGGAGAUGAGCACCACCUCCAGAGCCAGAAAUGAAAGGAGAAGCCUUUGCCUUUGUCUGUGUUGUGUGUCUCAUUGUAUGUGAUUGUAAACAAGGCAUUGAAUGUUUGCCUGCAUCUGCUUAUAUAUACUGUAAUUCGCCAUGAGUCCCCUCAGGGAGAAGGGCAGAAUAUAUUAUUUAUUUACUACAUUUAUAUCCCGAAGGGGACUCAGAGCGGCUUACAAAUCAAAUGAACAUACAAUAUAUUAUUAGCAUAGCACAAUAUACUGUAUAUACCCGAGUAUAAGCCGGAUUUUUCAGCCCUUUUUUAAGAUUGAAAAAGCCCCCUUCGGCUUAUACUUGGGUGAGGGUCCUGGUUGGCUUAUAUUUGGGUCAGCUUAUACUCGAGAAUAUAUGGUACAUUUAUUAUUUUUCUCUAUUAUUAUUGGUAUUAUUACAUUUAUUAUUUUUCUCUAUUAUGGUUGCUACUAUUACAUUUAUUUUACUCUAUUUUUAUUAUUAUUAAUAAUAAUACAUUUAUUAUUUCACUCUGAUCUUAUGAUUAUUAUUGCAUUUAUUAUUUCACUCUAUUUAUUACAUGUAUUAUUUUCCUGUAUUUAUUAUUAUUAUUAUUAGAUGUAUUAUUUUACUCUAUUCUUAUUAAAAGGAUACAUAAGCACAUUUACAUUGAAGAAGAUGAGAAUAAUGAUUUGAUCAGAGUUGGACAGUCUUAUCUUAAAUUUGAGCUUGAUGUAAAUAUUUAAAAACAUUUAACCCACUGAUGCCCCAAUUAAUGGAAUUUUUUUUAUUUCUGAAAUUUACCACCCUCGGCUUAUACUGGAGUCAAUGUUUUCCCAGGUUUUUGUGGUAAAAUUAUGUGCCUCGGCUUAUAUUCAGGUCAGCUUAUACUCGAGUAUAUAUGAUAAAUAAAGUGUUGUUGUUGUUAAUUUUGAAAGUGCGGCUGGAUAUUUUUUGUUUAUGUCCCUUAUGCCAAGAGAAACCAAACCAGUUCUCUUUUUCAUACUUCUUCCAUAAGAUCCACAGAAACCUGAAUUUUAAGGAACUAUGUUCCAGAAAGGAGGAAGAGGAGGACGCAGACUCACCCACCGAGGACCCUCUGCCUCACAAGCUUCCUGGCAUUUCAUCCCAACAGCUUCAGCUGGACUUCAAGACUACAUGCCUCCUUCUGUCUGUCUUGUUCUGUUCUGUCCUGUCUAUGUGUACUGUGAUCCUCCCUGAGUCCCCUUAGGGAGAUAAGGCGGAAUAUAAAUAAAGUGUAUUAUUAUUAUUAUUAUUAUUAUUAUUAUUAUUAUUAUUAAUAUUAUUAUUAUUAUUAUUAUUAUUAUUAUUAUUAUUAUUAUUAUGGUCCAAUUAAUGUGGGAAACAGGGAGGGCAUUGGAGAGACCCUACAAAUUUUCCAGGGUGGUUGCUUAAAACCGACUGUAAACUAGUUUAUUUUAAAGUAAGACCAGCAAGUGAACAAAAUAUUAAAAAGUAGCUAUCAAUCAUCUAUACCAGUGGUUCCCAACCUUUUUUUGACCAGGGACAACUCUCCAACAUUAGUACCAAAUUGGUUAUGAAUCAGUUUUUGGUCAAUUUUAGAUUCAUUUUGGUUAUUUGGGGUGCUGAUUCAGAAAAUUGCAUGGGAUAGACCACAUCAGUUCUAGUUUCUUUUUUAUUAUUGUGAUAGUAAAAUGAUUUUUUUUAAUUUAUAAAGGCUUCACAUAUAUAUUUUUCUGGUUGGAUGAAUGUCGAUUCCGUGUGCCAAAGCUAUUAUGGUAGCAUUCAGAAAGAGCUUGAAAACCUGGCUCUUCACUCAGGCCUUUGGAUAACGAUUGCUCAUCCCCAUAACAAUCCUGUAUCCGUGACCAUUCUUGUACCGGUUUGCACUUUUUACCUUUAUCAACUUGAUAUAGACACAGGGUCUACUACUCCCAUCCCAAUUUGCACUUCCAAGAAUUUGCAGCACUUUAUCAGUCACCUCGUGUUUACAAUAUUUAUAUGGUACACUUUACCCAGUCUACUUUUACAACCUCUCCAUUUUAAUCCAUGUUUUUAUUAGUUCUUGUCAUUUGUUUUUAUUGGCUAAUGUUUAAAUUUUUAUAAUUGUGCAUGUCUCUUGUCUAUUGUUGUGUUUUAUAUUGCUAUUGUUUUUAUUCGGGCUUGGCCCCAUGUAAGCCGCCCUGAGUCCCCUUUGGGGAGAUAGAGGCAGGGUAUAAAAAUAAAGUUGUUGUUGUUGUUGU